GCACCCUGCCGGCCAGCCCGGAGCCUCAAAGCCCCUUCCCAUGACAGCCAGCCCACUGUCCCAGGAGCCUGGUCCUGCCACAUCCUUUCAUUCACUCACUUCUCUCCUUAUCUCCGAAAGCAGAACCUCACUUAUUUGAUUAAAGACAUUUUCAGCUCUUCCUUGACAUGCCUUGAACACAAUUUGAGUAACUGUAAAAAAUUAAUGAGUUUAUUCACCAGCCUUUUUAGAUGUCAAAUAAUUACUGGGACCAGAUUCUCCACUAACCAAAUAAGUCUGAACUGAAUGACGUGCUUUAAAAUAACUUUUCUUUGGUAAGUAAUGUUUGCUUGGUAUGGUAAUUGUGAAUGACAUUUUCAAAUGAACAGAUAAGAAUUCUUCCCGAAGGAAGUACACAUUCAAAUAGCUUUUUAAAUGUAAAACUCAUGGUUAUUUUAUUAUGAUUUCUGAAUGCUUUCCGGUGGGAACAAAAGAUUUGGCUGUUGAUAAGAAUGCAAACAUUCAGUGAGUAGAUUUACAAAAAUUGGUUGAUUUUGGAAUCGUCUUCUGAUGGAAAGCCUUUGUGAUGGGGUUGAGAAGAGAGCAGCUUUCUCGAUCCCAGCGCAGACCCCUUACUAACGAAGAGCACGAGAAGCUCUUACUCAGGAGCUCUAUUUCCUAAGGCAGGAUUCUCUCUAUAGUAACAUCUACCCUCUUGAUAUACUUGAAGCACCUGUAAAUUUGUUAAGAGCAAAUCAAUUAUCCUCAUUACCCUUGUUUUUGGAACAGAGUCAUUUACACAGUCACUAAUUUAUAAAACCUGAGAGGACAAAAUGUUCCUGCCCUAGUGAGGAAAAUGUGGUGAAGCUUGACUGGGAGCUCAGGGCUGACGGGUGGCUGCACGUGCCUGUCACAGAGCACCCAUCUGCUGUGGACACCACGGACCCAACUCUACUAUGAAUUCAGUUACUACAGAGAGGAGCUGAAACCCUGGGAACCUCAAACCCUUUGAUUCUGUCACUUUCAGGAAAUUCACACUUAUACCAGUAAAUGAGUCGCUUUCAUCAUGAUAGGAAAACCAAAUCCAGGAAUGAUCUCGACUUGGAGGAAACUGAAGUUUACACAAAGGGAAGGGGAAAAGGUGGAAAGAAAUUCCCCAAGUAAACUCAACUGAUCAUUCAGGCCUAGGACUGUUCAUCCUUGCACUAUGAAUGUGAACUUCAUGAGGGCCAGAUUGUUUUUUCCACAAACCAUCCAGAGAAGGUCUGGCGAUAAAGAGGCUCGAUAAAUACUUGUUGAAAGGAUGAAUAG